AAAGAAGGGGGGAAGAGCGAGAACAGAAAACGCAAGGAGGAGUGUGCACUCCGUAACUCAGUUCAAAUCACCCGCCUCGCUCGAGCCAAUCACGUCAAGCCAAAGACGUGCGUGCGGGACCACACACAAAAAAAAAACAAUUUUCGACAAAACAAAUCCUACCACAACAAAAUUGCUCCGUGCUUGUAUACAUAUAAUGUUUGUUGAUAUUACGUGGGGUCAUCAUUGCUGUCAGUUGAUAAUUAGAGAUAUAACGCAACUAAAUUCAAAUCACCCGCCGCGCGGGAGCCAAUCCCUUCAAACCAAAACCACGCGUGCGGGACCACGUUCAGCGCGAUAAAAAAAAAAUGUACCGGCGUGGGGAAUCGAAGGUGGUGCCGUGAUAAGUUCGUUCCGCGCUUGUAUAUUUGCGGUGUUUAUUGAUAUUAUGUGUGCCAAUCAUCGUUGUCAGUCGUCGACUGGAAGUGUAUCGCGUGUGGGAUGGAAUGGGCGGCUAAAGGUGUGUCAAGAUUUUGUGUUGGUGUUCUGUGGUGUGUCGUCGUAGCCUCAACGGGCUCGUCGCUUUGUCUGCGCGCUCAGCGCUGCGUGAUCGGCGUGCUUUCCACGUUUCUUGAUUACUCACGGUUAUUGCGUGGUUCAGUCGAGUGCAUCUACUCAGACAGUCCACCGCCCAGUGCCCUGUCUGACGACGACGGCGACUGUAAAGCACAAGCGUGCGUCUCAGCGGAUGCCUAGGUAAGGCAGCCCGGGUGGCGUGUUCACACAGCAGUGAUGAUGUACGAGAAAAGUUGUCUGAUAGGCAAGUAUGGAUUCUGCUACAGAAUGGCCCACGAACCCAACUUCCGAGCGGCACGCCUACCGGCCGAACAUCGCCUGUGCGCAGCUUGAUCUGCCUACCAUGCGUCGGCCUUGGUCAUCAUCUCACCGGCCUCGCCUUUCAUCUCUACCACCUGGAAAGCCGGCGUGGCCGACGGAGCAUAGACGACUGACUGUUCAAGGAACUGAAGCAGUGGACAGCUUGCUGUGAAAGAUGGGAGCAUUCUUCCUCUGGUCUGGACAAGCCCAUAUUAAGUGGGAGAUGUUCAAUAUCAACCCGAUGAGAGGCAGCAAAUGUGGAAAUGGACGCAAGUCAAGGACAGCUGCAGACAGCAAAAUAUUGAAACUGAUACAACGAUUGUGCUGAAUCACCGAAGAUAUGAGCCAGAGUGCGAACAGUAUACUCGUACAGUUUCGCAGAAUAAAACC
rnacentral:lncRNA from 1 species